CAGCCGCCGCGGUAAUACGUAGGGCGCAAGCGUUAUCCGGAAUUAUUGGGCGUAAAGAGCUCGUAGGCGGUCUGUCGCGUCUGCCGUGAAAGUCCGGGGCUCAACCCCGGAUCUGCGGUGGGUACGGGCAGACUAGAGUGAUGUAGGGGAGACUGGAAUUCCUGGUGUAGCGGUGAAAUGCGCAGAUAUCAGGAGGAACACCGAUGGCGAAGGCAGGUCUCUGGGCAUUAACUGACGCUGAGGAGCGAAAGCAUGGGGAGCGAACAGGAUUAGAUACCCGUGUAGUCCCUGUCUCUUAUAC
rnacentral:rRNA from 1 species